GAUGAACGCUGGCGGCGUGCUUAACACAUGCAAGUCGAACGAACCUUCGGGUUAGUGGCGGACGGGUGAGUAACGCGUGAGAAUCUGCCCUCAGGAGGGGGAUAACGGCUGGAAACGGCCGCUAAUACCCCAUAUGCCGAGAGGUGAAAUGAAUUUCGCCUGAGGAUGAGCUCGCGUCUGAUUAGCUAGUUGGUGGGGUAAGAGCCUACCAAGGCUUCGAUCAGUAGCUGGUCUGAGAGGAUGAUCAGCCACACUGGGACUGAGACACGGCCCAGACUCCUACGGGAGGCAGCAGUGGGGAAUUUUCCGCAAUGGGCGAAAGCCUGACGGAGCAACGCCGCGUGAGGGAUGAAGGCCUCUGGGCUGUAAACCUCUUUUCUCAAGGAAGAAGAUCUGACGGUACU
rnacentral:rRNA from 1 species